CGCACCUUGCGCUCCAUGGUAUUCCGUGGAGCAUGCCUGUUCGAGUGUCACGUCAACCCUCACCCCUGUGAUGUCAAAAUCGCUCGUGGUGGAUUUGGACCGUGCCGUAGUCGGCUUGUCCUGAAAUGUACUAGCUUGCGCAUUUAGAGUGCAGGACGACGGUGUGAUAAUUAUCUGCGCCACAGUCCAUAAGCCUCUUCAACCGUGCAUGCUUCCAAUCGUCCCGACGGACAACUUUAUAAACCAAGCUUUGGCCUCGAAUCAGGUAGGACUACCCGCUGAACUUAA
rnacentral:misc_RNA from 1 species